rnacentral:lncRNA from 1 species
CUCCUACCAGCUGUGCUCUGUCGACCACGAGUCCCUCCCUACCUGCUGGGGCAGCGGCUUCCCUUAGGAACUUCUCAGUUGGAUUCCGUAGUUUUUCACUCACUUCCGCUUAUUAGAACGGUCUCCUUCUGGUUGUUGGAAUUUGCCCUCAUUCCUUUUGCAGUUUCAACUUCAACCUCGCAUUCUGUUCAAAGCUCUUUGCCUUCCUCCCAGCACUGGCUGCAUUCACGGCCCCAGCGGCCCAGAGGGGAGGUGAGGGUGUGGUCGGCCAUCUUGUACAUCCUCCCUUCCUGUGAUUUGCCCUCUGUGGUGAGAGGUGGGGGUGGGAGGAGUGGGGGUAGCCUCUUUCUACCCGAUUGCCAGUGGGGACCUUGCUUGUCCCCUUUCAGGAGAUCAUUCCAGUGGUGUAGCUUGUUGACCCUGGGUUUGGUAUGGAGAAAUAGAAACCCCAACAAGCCCUCAAGGGCCUAUUUAUGGGUGCUUCUGAGCUUUGCAAGCCUCGACUACAUCUUUCAGACAUCCUCCAGGUGGUACUAUGGGGCCACACUCCCCUGAUAUUGUCCCAAUUUGGCCUGUGCCUCAGUGGUGUCAGCUGAGCCUGCAGCCCAGUGUCUAUGCUCCAUGGCCUCCUUGCUGGGCCUAGAGGCAGAGGUUCUUCUGGAAACUGGCACUUUCAGUCUGGCCACCUGUCCUCAGUUCCUGCUACCAGGGCUAGUCAGGAAGCUCACAGGCUAAGAAGUCAACCAGUCAAAAUGCCAGCCUCCUUUUCUGAUAUAUACCCCUAAAUGUGAUGAGCGAAUCUCUGAGGUCACCCACCUCCCUGGCCUUGAGAGCGGAACUCCCUCUCUUCUGACAGACAGCCUCUGUGACCUCCCAUGCCUCCUCUUUCAGCUCUUCAUGAUGAGAGCUGUGAGCCAGAUCUCUGGUUCUGCCCCUGAGCACCAGAGGCUUCUUUGAAUCCAGCUCUGGAAAACGUGGAACCUUUUCUCUCGGUGGGGAUUUCUCUAUGUCUGGUGUCAUUUCCAUGACCUUCAAGGUUGGGACGAGACCCCAAUCAGUGCCUCACACCAGCUUGGUAUAUGUGACUAUAUUCCUUUCAGAAAGCUGGCUGCCAUGGAGUCUUGGUAGUCAUUUGGAUUUUUAGAUCCAGAAUACCCAUGACGGAGUAGAACGAACCUGGGGUAUGCGCCUUUAGGCGGGCAUAGAAGGCAUUAAGGGGACCCAGCUCUGGACUUUUUUUUUUUUUACCUCUUUACAUUUUUUCCCCUCAGAGAUAGGAAGAACGAAUGAAUAAUGUAGCUAACUCUUUGGAUCUCAAGGGCUCCUGAGAGUAAUGAGUGAGGUCCUGGGGCCUAGUUUCUUUAGUUACCCUGAGAAAGGCAAAUAAAUGUCACAUCUUCCUUCA